rnacentral:rRNA from 1 species
UACAGAGGGUGCAAGCGUUGUCCGGAUUUAUUGGGCGUAAAGAGCUCGUAGGCGACUUGUUGCGUCGACCGUGAAAACCCGGGGCUCAACUUCGGGCUUGCGGUCGAUACGGGCGGGCUAGAGUUCGGUAGGGGAGACUGGAAUUCCUGGUGUAGCGGUGAAAUGCGCAGAUAUCAGGAGGAACACCGGUGGCGAAGGCGGGUCUCUGGGCCGAUACUGACGCUGAGGAGCGAAAGCGUGGGGAGCGAACAGG